rnacentral:rRNA from 1 species
AAAGCACUUUCAGUAGGGAGGAAGGUAGUGUAGUUAACACCUGCAUUAUUUGACGUUACCUACAGAAGAAGCACCGGCUAACUCCGUGCCAGCAGCCGCGGUAAUACGGAGGGUGCGAGCGUUAAUCGGAAUUACUGGGCGUAAAGCGCAUGCAGGCGGCCUGUUAAGUCAGAUGUGAAAGACCCGGGGCGUUAACCUCGGAAUUGCAUUUGUAAACUAGGCAGGCUAGAGUCUUGUAGAGGGGGGUAGGAAUUUCAGGUGUAGCGGUGAAAUGCGUAGAGAUCUGAAGGAAUACCAGUGGCGAAGGCGGCCCCCUCGGACAAAGACUGACGCUCAGAUGCGAAAGCGUGGGGAGCAAACAGGAUUAGAUACCCCUGGUAG